rnacentral:lncRNA from 1 species
AGAAGACGGCCGCCAGGAAGACCACAAGGAGAACAAAGGCUACCACCAAGAGCCACCGACAACCCGUCCCGCGCAGGACCCCAACAACGGCGAGACAUGGCAGGAGGAAAGUUAACGUCGCCCAGAAUAAACAUGAGCCGACAAUAGCAUCAACUCGGGCCGCCGUUCCGGUCCGUGAGGUCGGCGCGGGGGAGAACAUCUCGGACGUGGGCACGGCAGGCGUCGAGAUCAGAGCGAAGAAGAACGCCGCCAAGGCCGCCCGAAACGACACCAUUGACGGCGACAUUGACAAGGGUGACAUUCAAGUUUCAGCCAAGAAGAAGGUUUCGGCUAAAG